rnacentral:rRNA from 1 species
GACGAACGCUGGCGGCGUGCUUAACACAUGCAAGUCGAACGGAAAGGCCCUGCUUUUGUGGGGUGCUCGAGUGGCGAACGGGUGAGUAACACGUGAGUAACCUGCCCUUGACUUUGGGAUAACUUCAGGAAACUGGGGCUAAUACCGGAUAGGAGCUCCUGCUGCAUGGUGGGGGUUGGAAAGUUUCGGCGGUUGGGGAUGGACUCGCGGCUUAUCAGCUUGUUGGUGGGGUAGUGGCUUACCAAGGCUUUGACGGGUAGCCGGCCUGAGAGGGUGACCGGCCACAUUGGGACUGAGAUACGGCCCAGACGCCUACGGGAGGCAGCAGUGGGGAAUAUUGCACAAGGGGCGGAAGCCGGAUGCAGCAACGCCGCGUGCGGGAUGACGGCCUUCGGGUUGUAAACCGCUUUCGCCUGUGACGAAGCGUGAGUGACGGUAAUGGGUAAAGAAGCACCGGCUAACUACGU